GACGAACGCUGGCGGCGUGCUUAACACAUGCAAGUCGAACGAUGAAGCCGGAGCUUGCUCUGGUGAAUUAGUGGCGAACGGGUGAGUAACACGUGAGUAACCUGCCCUUGACUCUGGGAUAACUGCGGGAAACUGUAGCUAAUACCGGAUACGACCCUCGGAGGCAUCUCCUGGGGGUGGAAAGAAUUUCGGUCAAGGAUGGACUCGCGGCCUAUCAGCUAGUUGGUGAGGUAAAGGCUCACCAAGGCGACGACGGGUAGCCGGCCUGAGAGGGUGACCGGCCACACUGGGACUGAGACGCGGCCCAGACUCCUACGGGAGGCAGCAGUGGGGAAUAUUGCACAAUGGGCGCAAGCCUGAUGCGGCAGCGCCGCGUGAGGGAUGACGGCCUUCGGGUUGUAAACCUCUUUUAGCAGGGAAGAAGCGAAAGUGACGGUACCUGCAGAAAAAGCACCGGCUAACUACGUGCCAGCAGCCGCGGUAA
rnacentral:rRNA from 1 species